rnacentral:rRNA from 1 species
CACGCUGGCGGCGUGCCUAACACAUGCAAGUCGAACGAGGUCCAUCCUUCGGGAGAAGACCUAGUGGCGAACGGGUGAGUAACACGUGAAGAACCUGCCCCGAAGACCGGGAUAACCCUCCGAAAGGAGAGCUAAUACCGGAUACCCCCACCGAACCGCAUGGUUUGGUGAGGAAAUGGAUUCCGCUUCGGGAGGGCUUCGCGGCCUAUCAGCUAGUUGGUGGGUAACGGCCACCAAGGCAUCGACGGGUAGCUGGUCUGAGAGGACGAUCAGCCACACUGGGACUGAGACACGGCCCAGACUCCUACGGGAGGCAGCAGUGGGGAAUCUUGCGCAAUGGGCGAAAGCCUGACGCAGCAACGCCGCGUGGGGAUGAAGGCUCUCGGGUUGUAAACCCCUUUCAGCAGGGACGAAUCAAGACGGUACCUGCAGAAGAAGCCCGGCUAACUACGUG